rnacentral:tRNA from 1 species
AAAUAACUACUUAUAUAAUAUAAAACUAUUAUUUUUAACUUCCAAUUAAAAAAUCUAGAAUUCCUAGUAUAAGUA